rnacentral:rRNA from 1 species
AUUGAACGCUGGCGGCAUGCCUUACACAUGCAAGUCGAACGGUAACAGGUCUUCGGAUGCUGACGAGUGGCGAACGGGUGAGUAAUACAUCGGAACGUGCCUAGUAGUGGGGGAUAACUACUCGAAAGAGUGGCUAAUACCGCAUGAGAUCUACGGAUGAAAGCAGGGGAGUGCAAGACCUUGUGCUACUAGAGCGGCCGAUGGCAGAUUAGGUAGUUGGUGGGAUAAAAGCUUACCAAGCCGACGAUCUGUAGCUGGUCUGAGAGGACGAUCAGCCACACUGGGACUGAGACACGGCCCAGACUCCUACGGGAGGCAGCAGUGGGGAAUUUUGGACAAUGGGCGAAAGCCUGAUCCAGCAAUGCCGCGUGCAGGAUGAAGGCCUUCGGGUUGUAAACUGCUUUUGUACGGAACGAAAAGCCCCGGGUUAAUACCCUGGGGUCAUGACGGUACCGUAAGAAUAAGCACCGGCUAACUACGUGCCAGCCGCCGCGGUAA